GAGGGGCAAGCGUUGUCGGAAUUACUGGGCGUAAAGCGCGCGCAGGCGGAUCCUGUAAGUCGGAAGUGAAAUUUCGGAGCUCAACUCCGAAGCUGCUUCUGAUACUGCGGAUCUGGAGAUCGGUAGAGGUCGGUAGAAUUACAGAUGUAGCGGUGGAAUGCGUAGAUAUCUGUAAGAAUACCCGUGGCGAAGGCGGCCGACUGGGCCGGAUCUGACGCUGAGGCGACGAAAGCGGUGGGGAGACAAACAGGAUUAGACUACCCUGGUAGUCCACGACCGUAAACGAGUGGGCACUAGGUGCCGGGGGGAGCGACCCCCUUCGGUGCCGCAGCUAACGCGAUAAGUGCCCCGCCUGGGGAGUACGGCCGCAAGGCUG
rnacentral:rRNA from 1 species